rnacentral:rRNA from 1 species
UACGUAGGGGGCAAGCGUUGUCCGGAUUCAUUGGGCGUAAAGAGCUCGUAGGCGGCUUGGCAAGUCGGGUGUGAAACCUCCAGGCUCAACCUGGAGACGCCACCCGAUACUGCCAUGGCUAGAGUCCGGUAGGGGACCACGGAAUUCCUGGUGUAGCGGUGAAAUGCGCAGAUAUCAGGAGGAACACCGGUGGCGAAGGCGGUGGUCUGGGUCGGAACUGACGCUGAGGAGCGAAAGCGUGGGGAGCGAACAGG